UACGUAGGGUGCAAGCGUUGUCCGGAAUUAUUGGGCGUAAAGAGCUCGUAGGCGGUUUGUCGCGUCGAAUGUGAAAAUCCGGGGCUCAACCCCGGACUUGCAGUGGGUACGGGCAGACUAGAGUGUGGUAGGGGAGACUGGAAUUCCUGGUGUAGCGGUGAAAUGCGCAGAUAUCAGGAGGAACACCGAUGGCGAAGGCAGGUCUCUGGGCCACUACUGACGCUGAGAAGCGAAAGCAUGGGGAGCGAACAGG
rnacentral:rRNA from 1 species